rnacentral:rRNA from 1 species
UACGUAGGGUGCGAGCGUUGUCCGGAAUUAUUGGGCGUAAAGAGCUCGUAGGCGGUGUGUCGCGUUCGGCCGUGAAAACCUGCAGCUUAACUGUGGGCUUGCGGUCGAUACGGGCAUCACUGGAGUUCGGCAGGGGAGACUGGAAUUCCUGGUGUAGCGGUGAAAUGCGCAGAUAUCAGGAGGAACACCGAUGGCGAAGGCAGGUCUCUGGGCAUUAACUGACGCUGAGGAGCGAAAGCAUGGGGAGCGAACAGG